GAUACCAGGGGCGAAAGGUCCAAAUCCAUUUGAACUUGUUCAUAAAUGGAUGAAGGACUUUGAGACCCGCCUCCAUAUGAGCAUAAAAGUGGGAUGAUAAUCCCACGAUAUGCGAAUGUGGAGAUGGAUUGUGAGAGGGCGAAGCACGGAACAAUCCAUGGUAU
rnacentral:sRNA from 1 species